CCUCGUAAGAACUUCCAUUUUAUGUUCUUAUCUUCUCAUCAGUUUGAGUUAUGUCUUUAACAUUGGAGAGAAAAACAACUUGCAAGAUUUUCUUUCAGUAUGAACCAUUCUGAGGUCCUUCAAUUCUUUAGCUGAUUACCAACUCCUACCACUGUUAACCCUCAUCCAGGAACAAGCUUAUGUCUUUAACAUUCUGAGUGGGCUUCAGCAUCCUUGCAUAUGUUCAAUUCUUAAAAACCUGUUGAAAUAAAAGAUCAGGAGACAUAGGAGGGAUGCCAGAAGACAGCGUGGCCUCACGUGUACCAGCUCUCUGCUCUCCUUUGCCUUGGGACGUUCCAUCCCUGGAAGUUUCCCUGCCCACAUCUUUGUAGAGAGUCCAUUCUCCAAGCUUCAGUGUGUCAUCUGUUAGGACUAUGACCCACCUGGUACAUUACCUCAGGGCAUUCAUUUCAGGCUCCUUCUAAGUGGUCAAGGUAAACCUCAGGUUCUCCUCCUGCCUUUUGCUAAGUAUAUGUCUUGAUGACAAGCCUUCUGCUAAUGAGCUGUGUUUCUGGACCGAUCAUGGUAGAAGUCAAUUGAAGUGUCCCUCACUUGGGGUUUCUUAAGGCUGCACUGAUGAGGAAACUGAAACAGAAAAUCCAGAGUAAAUUCCACCAGGCCACACAGCAAGGUCUGAUAGAGCCAGGAGAGACUUUAUGAAAUCCAGACUCUCACACUAAUGCUCUAUCAGCUAGACCUCCAUGUGAGUCUCCCCAAUGUAGGUAGGAAGCACUUUCCC
rnacentral:lncRNA from 1 species